rnacentral:rRNA from 1 species
GUGGGGAAUAUUGGACAAUGGGCGAAAGCCUGAUCCAGCCAUGCCGCGUGUGUGAAGAAGGUCUUCGGAUUGUAAAGCACUUUAAGUUGGGAGGAAGGGCAGUAAGUUAAUACCUUGCUGUUUUGACGUUACCGACAGAAUAAGCACCGGCUAACUUCGUGCCAGCAGCCGCGGUAAUACGAAGGGUGCAAGCGUUAAUCGGAAUUACUGGGCGUAAAGCGCGCGUAGGUGGUUCGUUAAGUUGGAUGUGAAAGCCCCGGGCUCAACCUGGGAACUGCAUCCAGAACUGGCGAGCUAGAGUACGGUAGAGGGUGGUGGAAUUUCCUGUGUAGCGGUGAAAUGCGUAGAUAUAGGAAGGAACACCAGUGGCGAAGGCGACCACCUGGACUGAUACUGACACUGAGGUGCGAAAGCGUGGGGAGCAAACAGGAUUAGAUACCCGGGUAGUCC